GACGAACGCUGGCGGCGUGCCUAACACAUGCAAGUCGAGCGGAGACAUUGGCUUCGGUUAAUGUUUUAGCGGCGGACGGGUGAGUAACGCGUGAGCAACCUUUCUCUUACUGGGGAAUAACAAAGGGAAACUUGUACUAAUACCGCAUGAGACCACAGAGGGGCAUCCUUCGGAGGUCAAAGAGUUAUCGGUAAGAGGUGGGCUCGCGUCUGAUUAGAUAGUUGGUGGGGUAACGGCCUACCAAGUCGACGGUCAGUAGCCGACCUGAGAGGGUGAUCGGCCACAUUGGGACUGAGACACGGCCCAAACUCCUACGGGAGGCAGCAGUGGGGAAGAUUGGGCAAUGGGGGAAACCCUGACCCAGCAACGCCGCGUGGAGGAAGAAGGUUUUCGGAUCGUAAACUCCUGUCCUCAGGGAAGAGCAGAAGACGGUACCUGAGGAGGAAGCCCCGGCUGACUACGUGCCAGCAGCCGCAGUAAUAC
rnacentral:rRNA from 1 species